rnacentral:rRNA from 1 species
AUUGAACGCUGGCGGCAUGCUUUACACAUGCAAGUCGAACGGCAGCGCGGGGCAACCUGGCGGCGAGUGGCGCACGGGUGAGUAAUAUGUCGGAACGUACCCAGAAGUGGGGGAUAACGUAGCGAAAGUUACGCUAAUACCGCAUACGAUCUACGGAUGAAAGUAGGGGACCGCAAGGCCUUAUGCUUUUGGAGCGGCCGAUAUCUGAUUAGCUAGUUGGUGAGGUAAAGGCUCACCAAGGCGACGAUCAGUAGCUGGUCUGAGAGGACGACCAGCCACACUGGAACUGAGACACGGUCCAGACUCCUACGGGAGGCAGCAGUGGGGAAUUUUGGACAAUGGGCGCAAGCCUGAUCCAGCAAUGCCGCGUGAGUGAAGAAGGCCUUCGGGUUGUAAAGCUCUUUUGUCAGGGAAGAAACGGUAGAGGCUAAUAUCCUUUGCUAAUGACGGUACCUGAAGAAUAAGCACCGGCUAACUACGUG